UACGGGGGGGGCAAGCGUUGUUCGGAAUUACUGGGCGUAAAGGGCUUGUAGGUGGCCAACUAAGUCAGACGUGAAAUCCCUCGGCUUAACCGGGGAACUGCGUCUGAUACUGGAUGGCUUGAGUUUGGGAGAGGGAUGCGGAAUUCCAGGUGUAGCGGUGAAAUGCGUAGAGAUGUGGAGGAACACCAGUGGCGAAGGCGACUCUUUGGCCUGUAACUGACGCUGAGGCGCGAAAGCGUGGGGAGCAAACAGG
rnacentral:rRNA from 1 species